CCUACGGGUGGCAGCAGUAGGGAAUAUUUCUCAAUGGGGGAAACCCUGAAGCAGCAACGCCGCGUGGAGGAUGAAGGUUUUCGGAUUGUAAACUCCUUUUGUUAGAGAAGAUAAUGACGGUAUCUAACGAAUAAGCACCGGCUAACUCCGUGCCAGCAGCCGCGGUAAUACGGAGGGUGCAAGCGUUACUCGGAAUCACUGGGCGUAAAGAGGGCGUAGGCGGGAUAGCAAGUCAGAUGUGAAAUCCGAUGGCUUAACCAGAGAACUGCAUAUGAAACUGUUAUUCUAGAGUAUGGGAGAGGUAGGUGGAAUUCUUGGUGUAGGAGUGAAAUGCGUAGAGAUCGAGAGGAAUACUCAUGGCGAAGGCGAGCUGCUGGAACAAAACUGACGCUGAUGCGCGAAAGCGAGGGGAGCGAAAAGGAUUAGAUACCCCAGUAGUC
rnacentral:rRNA from 1 species